rnacentral:rRNA from 1 species
GCAAGUCGAACGAGAAAAUCCUUCGGGAUGAGUACAGUGGCGCACGGGUGAGGAACGCGUAGGUAAUCUACCCUCUGGCGGGGGACAACACUCCGAAAGGAAUGCUAAUACCGCGUAAGACCACACUCCCCACGGAGAGAGUGGUAAAAGGUGGCCUCUUCUUGAAAGCUACCACCAGAGGAUGAGCCUGCGUCCCAUCAGCUUGUUGGUAAGGUAAAAGCUUACCAAGGCUAAGACGGGUAGCUGGUCUGAGAGGAUGAUC